rnacentral:rRNA from 1 species
GCGAUAAGCGCCGGUAAGGUGAUAUGAACCGUUAUAACCGGCGAUUUCCGAAUGGGGAAACCCAGUGUGACUCGUCACACUAUCAUUAACUGAAUCCAUAGGUUAAUGAGGCGAACCGGGGGAACUGAAACAUCUAAGUACCCCGAGGAAAAGAAAUCAACCGAGAUUCCCCCAGUAGCGGCGAGCGAACGGGGAGGAGCCCAGAGCCUGAAUCAGCAUGUGUGUUAGUGGAAGCGUCUGGAAAGGCGCGCGAUACAGGGUGACAGCCCCGUACACAAAAGCGCAUGUGCUGUGAGCUCGAUGAGUAGGGCGGGACACGUGGUAUCCUGUCUGAAUAUGGGGGGACCAUCCUCCAAGGCUAAAUACUCCUGACUGACCGAUAGUGAACCAGUACCGUGAGGGAAAGGCGAAAAGAACCCCGGCGAGGGGAGUGAAACAGAACCUGAAACCGUGUACGUACAAGCAGUGGGAGCCCCACCACUAAGCCAGUGGUGAACUCCACAUACGCAUCCUUUGCUGAGGAGACGGUUAACGGAGCGAAAGCGACGUUCAACCUCAAAACAAGCAGAGGGGGCUUAGUGGUGGGGUGACUGCGUACCUUUUGUAUAAUGGGUCAGCGACUUAUAUUCUGUAGCAAGGUUAACCGAAUAGGGGAGCCGGAGGGAAACCGAGUCUUAAUUGGGCGUUAAGUUGCAGGGUAUAGACCCGAAACCCGGUGAUCUAGCCAUGGGCAGGUUGAAGGUUGGGUAACACUAACUGGAGGACCGAACCGACUAAUGUUGAAAAAUUAGCGGAUGACCUGUGGCUGGGGGUGAAAGGCCAAUCAAACCGGGAGAUAGCUGGUUCUCCCCGAAAGCUAUUUAGGUAGCGCCUCGUGAAUUCAUCUCCGGGGGUAGAGCACUGUUUCGGCUAGGGGGCCAUCCCGGCUUACCAACCCGAUGCAAACUGCGAAUACCGGAGAAUGUUAUCACGGGAGACACACGGCGGGUGCUAACGUCCGUCGUGAAGAGGGAAACAACCCAGACCGCCAGCUAAGGUCCCAAAGUCAUGGUUAAGUGGGAAACGAUGUGGGAAGGCCCAGACAGCCAGGAUGUUGGCUUAGAAGCAGCCAUCAUUUAAAGAAAGCGUAAUAGCUCACUGGUCGAGUCGGCCUGCGCGGAAGAUGUAACGGGGCUAAACCAUGCACCGAAGCUGCGGCAGCGAACGUAUCACCCAAGACAACUUUGCGGAGUUGACGAUUGACGGAGCGAAGCGACGUCAAAGCGUUCAUUAAAGUCGAGUUGGCUUAGGGAUACGUUCGUUGGGUAGGGGAGCGUUCUGUAAGCCUGUGAAGGUGGCCUGUGAGGGUUGCUGGAGGUAUCAGAAGUGCGAAUGCUGACAUAAGUAACGAUAAAGCGGGUGAAAAGCCCGCUCGCCGGAAGACCAAGGGUUCCUGUCCAACGUUAAUCGGGGCAGGGUGAGUCGACCCCUAAGGCGAGGCCGAAAGGCGUAGUCGAUGGGAAACGGGUUAAUAUUCCCGUACUUGGUGUUACUGCGAAGGGGGGACGGAGAAGGCUAUGUUGGCCGGGCGACGGUUGUCCCGGUUUAAGCGUGUAGGUGUGUGUUCCAGGUAAAUCCGGUUCACUUUAACACUGAGGCGUGACGACGAGGCACUACGGUGCUGAAGCAACAAAUGCCCUGCUUCCAGGAAAAGCCUCUAAGCAUCAGGUAACAUCAAAUCGUACCCCAAACCGACACAGGUGGUCAGGUAGAGAAUACCAAGGCGCUUGAGAGAACUCGGGUGAAGGAACUAGGCAAAAUGGUGCCGUAA